GAUGAAGAACGUAGCGAAAUGCGAUAAGUAAUGUGAAUUGCAGAAUUCAGUGAAUCAUCGAAUCUUUGAACGCACCUUGCGCUCCUUGGUACUCCGAGGAGCAUGCCUGUUUGAGCGUCAUUAAAUUAUCAAACCUCUCCGGCUUUGCAGCCGGUCUGGAUUUGGAUGUGGGGGGGUCAUUCCUGCAGGCUCUCGCACUGCUCCCCUGAAAUGCAUUAGCGGUACCUUUCUUGCAGUGUACGGCUGUUGGUGUGAUAACUAUCUACGCCAUCUGGCCAGCUGCGACUCGUGCAAAGGCAGAGCUGCUCACAACCGUCCAUUUGAUUGGACAAAUCAUGACGAAUUUUGACCUCAAAUCAGGUAGGACUACCCGCUGAACUUAAGCAUAUCAAUAAGCGGAGGA
rnacentral:misc_RNA from 1 species